AUGCCUAACAAAAGAGUUCAACCGGUUAUCCCGGACCUCGUUCACCAUGACCAAUCUGGGUUCAUUCAAGGGCGUAACAUCGCGGAAAAUUUCAUCCUUGCUGCGGACAUUGUACAAGCGUGCCACAAACGAGAUUGUCCGGCUUUAGUUCUAAAAUUAGACUUCAAGAAAGCUUUUGACUCAGUAUCCUGGGAUUGCCUUUGCAAGAUCCUCAAGGCGAAAGGUUUCCCGGACAUUUGGAUUCGUUGGAUCAUGAUGUUAAAUAACUCUAGCCAAUCGGCCAUCCUGCUAGAUGGUGUCCCCGGGAAGUGGAUCCAAUGCAAAAACAGCCUUAGGCAAGGCGAUCCUAUCUCCCGAUACCUUUUUAUAAUUGUUGCCGACAUCCUCCAACGCAUGAUUCUUCGCGCCUCUAACCAAGGUCUUCUGCAGCACCCAAUCAUCCCAAGCUCCCCUUGUCCGAUGCUUCAGUAUGCCGAUGACACCCUCAUUAUCAUCAAGGCCGACUACGACCAUCUUGCCAACCUUAAACUUAUUUUGCAGAACUUCUCUUUGGCUACGGGGCUUAAUAUAAACUUUCAGAAAAGUACCUUCGCCCCAAUCCAUGUAGAUCCUCAUAUAGCUGCGGUUAUGGCAUCCUCUCUAGGCUGCUCAGUUGCCUCUUUUCCUCAAAAUUACCUCGGCCUCCCUUUAUCCACGCACAAAUUACGGCUGCUAGAUUUCCACCCUAUGAUUGCAAAGGUUGACAAGCGGUUGGCCGGUUGGUGA
rnacentral:rRNA from 1 species